GCCGAUUCCACUGCAUCUUCGGGGAAUUCUAUUGCUUCAGCGAUGCUUGUUAUUGUGUCACCUUCUAGUCGUACCCAAGAAGUUACAGCAGAGAAAGAAUGUGAACCAUCUGGUAAGUGCACAAUAGAGAUGGUCAUAUCCCAUCUUAGUUCAGACUGUUUAGAAAACACAACUGAUUGGAUUAUUCAUUUAUAUGUUUUUGGAGCUGUUGACACAAUAGUUGACAGCCACUAAAUACAGGCCAGACACUACAAAACACUGCAGGACCUUUACAAGAAACCAAAGCCAAAUAAAUUUGCAGUUACCUAGCUCCUUGAUCAUGAAUUUAAUGCACAGAGGUCAUUUAUAGAUUCUAUGGGAGGCUUACCCAUGCUUUAAAGAACUGGAUCAUGUAAUGGAUCAAAUGCAUUGUAUUCUUAGUUGGAAUAAUCUUAACUACAUCACAGAAGUUAAGAGCAAAUGGACCAGUUUUUAUGGAAAAGCACAGCUGUAUGGAGUAAUGAAGAAGAUCCUGAAGCCUCCACAUAUGCACGAUGAUGUGAAAAAUGCCAUUGCCAUGUUUAGAGCUCUGCCAUCCAUGUUUCCUUCAGUUUCUCUACCCCCAAAAAAGCUGGGAAACAAAACAUGAGGCAUUAGUUCAUGGCCUUAAGGUAAAACUUUGCAUUUUUACAUUGCUUAAAGGAAAAAUAAAGACAAUUACUGCAAUUCUAUCCAUCUGUGACUGGCAGCAAUUUUCAGGGUUGCUUUUAAUGUUAGC